rnacentral:rRNA from 1 species
CCUACGGGUGGCUGCAGUGGGGAAUAUUGCGCAAUGGGGGAAACCCUGACGCAGCAACGCCGCGUGAAGGAAGAAGGAUCUUGGUCUGUAAACUUCUUUAAUCUGUGACGAAACAAAUGACGGUAGCAGAGGAAUAAGCUCCGGCUAACUACGUGCCAGCAGCCGCGGUAAUACGUAGGGGGCAAGCGUUGUCCGGAUUUACUGGGUGUAAAGGGUGCGUAGGCGGGUAUUUAAGUCAGAUGUGAAAUCCACAGGCUCAACUUGUGGUCUGCAUUUGAAACUGGGUAUCUUGAGUGCAGGAGAGGAAAGCGGAAUUCCUAGUGUAGCGGUGAAAUGCGUAGAUAUUAGGAGGAACACCAGUGGCGAAGGCGGCUUUCUGGACUGUAACUGACGCUGAGGCACGAAAGUGUGGGGAGCAAACAGGAUUAGAUACCCUUGUAGUC